AUAAAUCUGAAAUAAGUUCAAUUACAAAAAUGAAAAGACACUGCAUUUAACUUUUAUUUACGUUAACAUUAACAUUUAUAUUAAUGUCUAAUUCCUGGUUUCCAAUACAGAUUUUUUUCGACACUUCCUGUUUAAAGGCACACCUCCGCGAAUACUUCGACAUGCGUCUCGUCACAUUGUCUCGCUAGUUCUUUUGUACUCCCUCACAGCAUCACUCCGGUGUCCAGUUACCUCUGAUAUAAUUUGUUCAUCAACACCACAUUCAUACAAACGGGUUGCAGCUGUUGCACGUAAUGAAUGGUUUGACCUAAAUCCACC
rnacentral:lncRNA from 1 species